rnacentral:rRNA from 1 species
GUGACCUCGGAUCAGU